AUUAAAAAAAAUGUUGUGGAGUUCCUGUCGUGGCUCAGUGAUUAACAAAUCCGACUAGGAACCAUGAGGUUGCGGGUUUGAUCCCUGGCCUUGCUCAGUGGGUUAAGGAUCUGGCAUUGCCGUGAGCUGUGGUGUAGGUUGCGGACGCAGCUCAGAUCCUGUGUUGCCGUGGCUCUGGCGUAGGCUGGUGGCUACAGCUCUGAUUCGACCCCUAGCCUGGGAACCUCCAUAUGCCGCGGGAGCGGCCCAAGAAAUGGCAAAAAGACAAAAAAGAAAAUAAAUAAAUAAAAUAAAAUGAAUAUUGUGCCUUGAAAUCUUCAGAUGAUUCCAUCCAUAUUUGCUUUUUAUUGUCUUUAUAACCAUUUGCAUACUGUUCUUAAUAGGAAUUUAAAAUAUACAGUGUUGUUAUAUUUGACUAUGAUUAACUAUUAUUCAUUCAUUUAAAAUAUUUUUAAUGUGAGUCUGUUCUUUGUCACAUAUGACAAACAUUGAGUAAUGGAGUUACCAUGGGCAGUGAAAGAGAUUUGGCCCUUGCACUUACAGAGUUUCCAAUCCACUGAGAAGGACAGAGGUUAAUCAGCCAGACAUGCUGGAGAGAUAUUCUCUUCUCUAGUGUAAUUGUAACUUGUAGCUGAAAUUGUUAAUUUAAAAAAAGAAAAACAAAAAACAAAACUGCUAGGAGUUCCUGUCGUGGUGCAGUGGAAAUGAAUCCGACUAGCAACCAUGAGGUUGUGGGUUUGAUCCCUGGCCUUGCUCAAUGGGUUAAGGAUCUGGCAUUGCUGUGAGCUGUGGUGUAGGUCACAGAUGAGGCUUGGAUCUGAUGUUGCUGUGGCUGUGGCAUAGGGCAGCAGCUCUAGCUCCAUUAGACCCCUAGCCUGAGAACUUCCAUGUGCCAUGGGUGCGGCCCUAAAAAGACAAAAAGAUAAAAACAAACAAGCAAACAAAAACUGCUAAAGCAUAGUAUUUUAGGGACAUGACAUCAUCCUUAAAUAUUUUAGGAUUUUAAACAAUGUAUUUAUGAAUUUGUUUAUUGAUGUUUCAUUGUUUAUCCAUAUUUAACAAUUUGGCAAUUAAUUGAUGUAUAGUCAGGGCUUUUAGCAGUGGGUCUCCUGAGUGGUAACCCUCAUUAUCUUCUUAGGUAAGUCACACCAAAAAUAUGUAUUCUACGGCUUAUACUUUUGAUUUGCCAAAAAUGACUGGAGAGCUUAAAGGCUUUUGACCAGCAGUGUAAGUAGUGUAAGUGCAGAAUUUGUCUAGUUUCCUGAUUUUUAUUCCCAUUUUAUGACUCUAUUUGACAUCUGAUUUUGUGGUUUUCGAAAAUGAAAUUUACCUUUGUUCUUUCCAAAGCAGUCAAUCUCGUGUCACUAACAACAUCCUUUUUGCCCUUACAUUGUAUUACUUAUGCAAAAUUUAAUUAAUUUACCCAAGUACGGUAACAAAUAGAAAUGGCAUAAACAGACUUGGGAUCAAGCAGAUAGGUAAAGCAGUUCGAGUGGGAGUGUGUGGUGUGCUAGAGUUGCCUUUUUGCCAUUCAGGUGCCAUGUAGUGACUGGAGUAGUCUAAAUAAGAAACAUUGUCCUUGUCCCCAAAACUAUUCAUUCUACCAUUUUUUCAGGGCCUUAUCCUGCUACAAGUCUAAACAAGUCCUUGAAAUAAUUGUGGAAAAGCAGAAUCCAAAUUCAUCACAGGUAUAAAUCUUUUCACUACCCAGAAAGACCUGGAAUGGUGUUUUCUAUAGCACACUUUGCUUACCAUUUUCUCCUUUCACAUUUGUAUUUAUAUUCAUGAUUUCAGCACAUCACGUUUUCAAGACAAUAGAAAAAAAAAGGAGAAGUCAUGCUUUUAAGCUUGUACCAUGCCAUUGAAUUUCUUUGAAAGGACAACAAGUGUGUUUAUUUUAUCACUGUGAGUCUAAAAAUUAACCGUGAAACAUCAUUCUCUACUUCUAAACUAUGUGUAACAAAGAAAUGCUUUAUUGCAACUUCAUCAAUAAUUCAAAUGCAACUUAAAAGAAAGUAGGGCAGCAUAAGAAAAAAAAAGCACACUUGUUCCAUAAUUGAGUCGAUUAAAUAGUAUUGAAUCUUAUUGUCAUAUUCAUAUUGAUGAAACAACUUCCAUAACUACAAAGAGUCUAAUAAGAAAUAAGACCUUAGAAUUAUGAGACAAUGUCAUAGGCAUUUCUGUAUUUUUUUCUGUUGUAAAAGACAAAUAGUGAAAGCAAGCUUUUACUUGUGUAUGAUAAUGAACGAACAGCUUUUGAAAGGUCUCUUAUUGGGAUUUUAGUAGUUUUCAAGGCUGUGCAGUAAUAACCCAAGCUAUUUUGGAACUGUGCAUACAUUAGUGUUCUGGUGCUGCAUGAUACAAUAAUGUGUGAAAAAGUGUACGAUCACACCUUGUUUAAAUUUGCAGUUUUUGUGCAUAAUCCCAAUGAGCUCUUGUCAGGUUUUGACUGUAUAUAGGAGAAAAAAAGUUUAUAGAGGCCUAAGAUUGGGGUUGGAUUUAAAUAUAUGACUAUGAAAAUAAGAAUUUUUUAAAAUUGUACUUUUUUAAAGAUCAAAAGAGUUCAGUUUAUAUGUAACAUUUUGCAAAACAGCCUAUGGUUAGUUUGGCCCAGGAGAAGCUUCAGAAUGUGCAUAAAUAACCAUCUGAAUGAUAAUGUAUAUAUAUCUGCUCUCUUUUGUAUUUGCAAAAUAUGAGCGAAAAAUUUGUCACCCAGAGAAGCAAAACCCUGAUUCCAUUGAUGCCCUUGUUCAAAACAUUUUGGAAAACUUCCUCUCAGAAUUGUCUUUUGAAUCAUUUGCAAGCUUGACUAAAACAUCCAUCUCAUUACUUUCUAUUCGCAUUUUAUACCAAGAUUCAUCAUGCUUUUUUUUUUUAUUCACCAGAGUUGGCUAUAAAUGUCUCUCUGAAGUGAUGAAAAUGGCUAAAAUUGACUUUCAAAUUAUGAAAUUUGUCACCAUUGAGGAUAUUUAGAAAUGUGUAUGCAUGUGUGUGGUACAGACUUGGAAAGCAGUUUCAAAAGGAGAUGGAAAUACUGUGAGUAAUGGCUGAGCUUUAGGGUGAGUGAGUGGUAUUCUAAGGUAACCACUUUGAAGGGAAAGUACAUUUGGAUGACAUGGUGUGUUUGUUUAAAAACCAGUCACAUUACUUUUUAAUGACACUGUAUAUUAGUUUUUAUAGCAUAUACAAAGAGAAAUGCAAAUAUGUCUUUUGGAAUGCAAGGCCAAAAUGUCUUACACAAUUAGUAGCAUAUUUUAUUAGUAAGACAAUUAAAGGAUUAAGCAACUAACAUGUUAAUCCUGUGUAGGCAGAUUCUUCAGAUAAUGGUCUUUACAUGGGAUAUCUCUGUAUAAUUUUAUUUUAGUUAAAUACUGUCAUUUAAUGUCUGAUUUGUAAGUAUGUGUUUCCAUUGGCAUCUUGGGUUAAUGUGUACUUCAUUUCAUGUCAUUUGAAGGUACUAGUUGAUAACAUUUGACAUUUUUGUUUCAGUUGACCUCUUCCUAUAAGUAAUUGACCCAGUUGUUAGAACUAUUAUUGCUUAUUUUUUAACUAUCAGUAAAGAAACACAAAUAGUUACAUGUGCUUGAAAUGUAGAGUCAUUGAAGUCUAAGUAUUUUCUUAGUUUAGAGGAAAUAUGUGGUCAUUCAGUACAAUUCACAGAAUGUUUAUGUGUGGAAUGAUUUACGAAUAAAAUGAAAAUCAAGUAGUAAUCCAGAAUGUUCACCAUUUACCUCCAGUUUGAACAUCUUUAUUGUGCUCUUUCUUAAAUGGGUAGGAAGUAAAAGAAAUGAUUUCCAGAGAGACUUAGUUGAGUAGUUUUUAUUUUCUGAGCAUUAGAGUUGGUAUUAGUUCUGGAGUUCCCACUGUGGUGUAGUGGGUAAAGAAUCUGACUGCACUGGCUCAGGUCACUACUCAGGAGUGGGUUUGAUCCCCAGCCCAGUGCAGUGGGUUAAAGGAUC
rnacentral:lncRNA from 1 species